UUUCCUUUUUUAAAAAACUUUUUUUCCUUUUUCUUAGCGAGGAAAAGAAACCAACAGGGAUUGCCUCAGUAGCGGCGAGUGAAGCGGCAAGAGCUCAGAUUUGAAAUCUCACCUAGUGUGCGAGUUGUAAAUUGCAGGUGGGAGUCUCGGGUUAGACGUGUGUGCAAGUCCCUUGGAACAGGGUGCCACUGAGGGUGAGAGCCCCGUAGCGUGCAUGUCGACACCUGUGAGGCCCUUCCGACGAGUCGAGUUGUUUGGGAAUGCAGCUCUAAGUGGGUGGUAAAUUCCAUCUAAGGCUAAAUAUUGGCGAGAGACCGAUAGCGAACAAGUACUGUGAAGGAAAGAUGAAAAGCACUUUGAAAAGAGAGGGAAACAGCACGUGAAAUUGUUGAAAGGGAAGGGUAUCGGGCUCGACAUGGGAUUUACGCAUCGUUGCCUCUUGUGGGCGGCGCUCUGGGUUUUUCCUGGGCCAGCAUCGGUUUUCGUUGCAGGAUAAGGACAAUUGGAAUGUGGCUCCUCGGAGUGUUAUAGCCUUUUGUAGAUGCUGCGUAUGGGGACCGAGUGCUGCGGCGGACUGCUUCGUCUCUGAUCUGACGAAGGAAGGUUGAAGGGU
rnacentral:rRNA from 1 species